CAAGAAAAAAAAAAUCAAGAAAAAGAAUUUGCAGAGAAAAAGAAGAGAAAGAAAAUGGCUAUGGCGGCUUCUUCGCCCCACAAAUUCGGCGAUUUGAUUCCGUUCAAGCUCGAUUUAUCGAGCAAUUACGUCAUCUGGAAGUACGCAAUGGCGACGCUUCUUCAAGCCUUCAACCUCUACGGUUACGUAGAUGGGACCUCCGAGAACGACAACGGCGAUGACGGCGCUCACAAGAAUGAGGACAACUGUAGCAUCUAAUGUUAGGGAUUGAUAAUACAAGUGGAAUUAGGGUGGUACUAUAAUGAUGCUUUAGGGUGAUUUGUGUUGUGUUGCAUUUAGUGUGAUUCGACCAUGAUUGCUUUUCCUAUUGAUUUUGCGUUUGUGUUUGCCAAGCUUACUCGGUCCUCCAUUAGUCCCAAUUGCCAUUUCACUAAAUGGGUUUCCCCGAUCAGCCUCCCAACCCCAUCACAGGGAUUCCACCAUUAUGUCCGCAUAUAUUCAUGUUUAGGUUUUCGCUUUGGAUUUCGGUUGCUGUUACUUUUGGGUUAAGUAACGUUUGAUUUUAUAGGCUAGAUUCAAGCAACAAUUAUACAAUGAGGGUACUCUUUGAUCUUCGCUGACUUGUGAGUAUCAUUGCUCAAUUGCACUUUCGCCAACUGGGUUUCCCUGGUUGGCCUCCAAAACCCAAUGCAGGGGGGUCAUCCAGGAACUUAAGCUUUGAGCAAUCAGGAACUAGUGUUGAUGGCAUUUUGGAUUAUUUGGAUUAUACAUGUUUAAUUUUACACACUGAGGAUAGUCUUUGUUCUUACUGACUUGUGAGUAGCAUUGCCCACUUGCACUUUCGCCAACAACUAUAUAAAACACAGAGGAAGGACUCCUCGUUCUGGACUAGAAUGUUAAUCAGUGAGCACAGAGCAUUUUGUUUUGGAACUGAGAGUGGUAUUCUUUAUAUUCAAAGGAUCAACACGUCUCCAAGGUGACAUACAAUUCAAAGGAUCAUUCUUGACGUUCUUUCAUUUCAUUUUGGAGUAGAUGAUGAGAGUUGUGCAAUUUAAUGUUCUAGGCAGUGUAAAUUCUGUUAAUUGAUAGUCCAGGUCGAGUUAGUCAGUGGGGUGUUUCCUGUUAAUAUCAGUUGAUAAUUCUGAUUAGGAAUUAACAAUUCCAAGUGCAGUUACUCAGUCUCGUAAACUUUCAUGAGAUAAUGUGGUGUUUCCUGUUCAUAUGAGAUUCAUGACUCUUGGAAUUGAUGUCAGGGUAAACCCCUGUUUUGAUGACAAUACAGUAUUGUAAAUGUGUUAGCUUGAUGAUUUUGAAGGUGCCAUUUUUUCCAUU